UAGAAAGUUAUGGGUAAAAGAUAUUAUUGUUCGUGGCAUUAUAGAAAGUUAUGGGUAAAAGAUAUUAUUGUUCGUGGCAUUAUAGAAAGUUAUGGGUAAAAGAUAUUAUUGUUCAUGACAUUAUAGAAAGUUAUGAGUAAAAUAUAUUAUUGUUUGUGGCAUUAUAGAAAGUUAUGGGUAAAAUAUAUUAUUGUUCAUGGGAUUAUAGAAAGUUAUAGGUAAAAGAUAUUAUUGUUCGUGGCAUUAUAGAAAGUUAUGGGUAAAAGAUAUUGUUCAUGGCAUUAUAGAAAGUUAUGGGUAAAAUAUAUUAUUGUUUGUGGCAUUAUAGAAAGUUAUGGGUAAAAUUUAUUAUUGUUCAUGACAUUAUAGAAAGUUAUGGGUAAAAGAUAUUAUAUAAGUUUUGUACGAAUUAUCAUGUAAGAUUAUCGUCUUUACCUUGGUCUAAGUGAAUUUCGAAAUUACAUACUAACUGUCCAAGAAAAUGAUAGUGAUAUCUAAAUAUUAAUUAUAUUUUUACUGACAUCUAUGCAUGAAUAUUCUUGUUUGGUUCUAUGUGGAUUCUACUCCCAAAAUGUAAAAUAUUCAAAUAUCUUAGAAGGUUCGUAAAUUCGUAAAAACAUGCUUAAUGAUGUGUACGGUCAUUUAUUAGUACUAGGCAAAGUAACCGUUAAAAUAAUUAUAUAAACGAAAAACUCUAUUUAAUUUCUAUUAAAUAAGAAUGACAUUGUUAGUAAACUACAAUGUGCAUUGCGCAGUAGCACGAGAUUGUUACAUUUUAUAAGACUCAGAAACAGGAAAUAUUGCAUGAUAGAUAAAUUUGUCAAAAUAAUGUAAUUAUAUUUGAAAGACAAUAUCUAAAUAAAAAAUUACAGUAAAGUCCAGCCUACCUGUACGUACAGUUAACAUAUGUCGCUGAAGUAUCACUGAUGUCCAGAAACAACGUCGGCUACUAUUACGCUCUACUUAUAUGGACAGUAAAGUAAUACCACCAAAACCUCGCCAAUGUCCAGUUGUUACGAUCUAGAAAAUUCCAGUCUACCGAUAUAGGUAGUAAAGAUAUAACCGCCGAAGCAUCACCAAUAACUAGAAAGGACAGGGGUCACCAUUACUACGUACAUAAAGUUAUGUGGUCAGAGGAGUUAUGUCAUUGGUCUUUGAGUCUCCAGUCCUGUAAAACCAAUCCAACCACUUAAGCAAUAAUUUCACAACCAAGAUUCGGCCCCUACCUAAACCUCGAGUGGGGAGUAGGAGAACAGCUGUUUCCGGUUGUCUUCAGAAGUCCUACUAGGAAUACUUUAAACCGAAAUACCUACCAGUAGUAGUGGUUAUGUAAUUUAAACAUCAGCGUUGUUCAGAAAGAACUACAUGUACUGUUAACAAAAACUCAUCAGGAUUCUCUUAUAACACGGAUCUCUGACGUCAAAUCUCCAGGAAAAACUUUUAAACAUCAGCGUUGUUCAGAAAGAACUACAUGUACUGUUAACGAAAACUCAUCAGGAUUCUCUUGUAACACGGAUCUCUGACGUCAAAUCUCCAGGAAAAACUUGCAACAAACAUGGCAAACAUACACUUAGACGUUUUUAGGACACUGCCUUCUAAAGAAGGAACCAAGUGCAGUCAUAUUAGAGUAAGUUACCUGGCUGCUAAUAAACAAUAAAUUAUAACUCCUUUAGAUGAAGCAUUUUAGUUGAAUGUCUAUUUCCAUUGUUCUCAUGACAAAUAGUUAUUUUAAAUGUGGUCGUGGCUCUUCCAAUGUAAAAACACUGUUCAAUGAUGACUCUUACGUGAAUGAGCUACAAUGUUCAGCUACAGACUAGGAGAGUUGACGAAAACAUUCAAAAUAAAUUACACUUCAUUCAGGUAAGUUACUUUUUUCGAAAGAGACUCCACUACUACAAGACAAUAAUCAUCUGCAGGUCUCUAGUAGUCAUAUUUCAUCCACUACUACAAGACAAUAAUUAUCUGCAGGUCUCUAGUAGUCAUAUUUCAUCCACUACUACAAGACAAUAAUCAUCUGCAGGUCUCUAGUAGUCAUAUUUCAUCCACUACUACAAGACAAUAAUUAUCUGCAGGUCUCUAGUAGUCAUAUUUCAUCCACUACUACAAGACAAUAAUUAUCUGCAGGUCUCUAGUAGUCAUAUUUCAUCCACUACUACAAGACAAUAAUCAUCUGCAGGUCUCUAGUAGUCAUAUUUCAAAAUACGUUUUUUCUUUAAGAUUUGGAUAGCAUUUCUUGCUGGAUUAAUAUGGUCUGAACUUAUCAUUUGUCGCCUUUUUUGGUGCACGUUUUUUUCCUUUUUUUAAAAUAGUUAUUAUGUGAACUUAAUAAAGAUUGGUAUUAAGUUGAAUAUCUUGAGCAUGUAUCUGUUUAUUAUUAAUUAUAGCUUUCAUUCGUAAACAUGUUAUGAGGUUAAAUAUAGGUCGUCUACUGUUCUGAGGCUUAAGAUAAAUAUCAGUACGGUAUUUUCUAUUAAGGUAGUUUUGGUUGUACCUACUGUAAUUCAUUUAGUAAUUAUAUUAUAAACAAUAAUAUUUAUUGUCUCUGUAGGACCCAUAUUUAUGUGUGUAAUGUACAGUAUCUUAAGUGGAACCCAAGAGAGCAAUGUGGGACCAAGUUUGCUAGGAAUAAUGUUUGCUGUAUUAUGUGUGGCCCAAAGUAAUAGGAGUAACAUUUACUGUCUUAAUUGAGUUUUACUCGUCAGUAUUAGUAGAUGUAAAUGUUUGCUGUUUUAUGUAGAACUCAGAUUGAUAGAAGCAAUGUUUGAUCUAUUAUUUAGAGUCAGGAUUGAUAAAAGUAAUCUCUGCUGCUUUAUCUAUGGUCUAGAGUAAUAUUUGCUAUCUUAUAUGAGACCCAGAUUGAUAUGAGUAACGUCUGGUUUAUUAUGUGAGACCCAGAUUGAUAUUGAUAAUGUUUUCUGCCUCAUCUAGGGUUCAUAUUGACAGGUGAGAAUAUUUGCUGUCUUUUGUAGGGCUCAGAAUGAUAGGAGUAAUGUUUGGUUUCUUAUGGAGGGCCCAGAUUGAUAGCCCUAAUCUCUGCUAUCUUAUAUACAGUCCAGAUAAAUAGAAGUAAUGUUGAUAUCUCAUGUAGGCCCCGGAUCGAGUAAUAAGAAAGUCUAGUCGCUAGGUUUAAGUAUAUGGUUUUGUAUUUUCUGUCAAUUAUUUUUUUUUACUUGUUUGAGAUGCAGAGGCGAGAUGAACAUAUUUGGAAACUAGUCUGAUGCAAGUA